UAUAUACAUAGAAAGGAUGCACUCUCUGGUCUUCAAGAAUUCAUCAUUUUAUUGCAUACUGCUUAAUGGAAUAAAUAACUUUAUAAUUCUUGAAGACCGGAGAGUGCAUCCUUUCUAUGUAUAUA